rnacentral:rRNA from 1 species
AUUGAACGCUGGCGGCAUGCUUUACACAUGCAAGUCGAACGGUAACAGGCCGCAAGGUGCUGACGAGUGGCGAACGGGUGAGUAAUGCAUCGGAACGUGCCCAGUCGUGGGGGAUAACUACUCGAAAGAGUAGCUAAUACCGCAUACGAUCUAUGGAUGAAAGCGGGGGACCGUAAGGCCUCGCGCGAUUGGAGCGGCCGAUGUCAGAGUAGGUAGUUGGUGGGGUAAAGGCUCACCAAGCCAACGAUCUGUAGCUGGUCUGAGAGGACGACCAGCCACACGGGGACUGAGACACGGACCAGACUCCUACGAGAGGGAGCAGUGGGGAAUUGUGGACAAUGGGCGCAAGCCUGAUCCAGCAAUGCCGCGUGCAGGAAGAAGGCCUUCGGGUUGUAAACUGCUUUUGUACGGAACGAAACGGCUCUGGUUAAUACCCGGGGCUAAUGACGGUACCGGAAGAAUAAGCACCGGCUAACUACGUG